GUGCAGCAGCCGCGGUAAUACCGGCCGCCCGAGUGAUGGCCGAUCUUAUUGGGCCUAAAGCGUCCGUAGCUGGCCGCGCAAGUCCAUCGGGAAAUCCACCUGCUCAACAGGUGGGCGCCCGGUGGAAACUGUGCGGCUUGGGACCGGAAGGCGCGACGGGUACGUCCGGGGUAGGAGUGAAAUCCCGUAAUCCUGGACGGACCGCCGAUGGCGAAAGCACUUCGAGAAAACGGAUCCGACAGUGAGGGACGAGAGCCAGGGUCUCCAACCGGAUUAGAAACCCUGGUAGUCC
rnacentral:rRNA from 1 species